ACGGGAGGCGACAGUGGGGAAUAUUGCGCAAUGGGGGGAACCCUGUACGCAGCGACGCCGCGUGAGUGAAGAAGGUCUUCGGAUCGUAAAGCUCUGUCAUCGGGGACGAAGGUAUGACGGUACCCGAAGGAGAAGCCCCGGCUAACUACGUGCCAGCAGCCGCGGUAAUA
rnacentral:rRNA from 1 species